CAGCAAGCCAGGAAGGAGGCUGGCAGAGCUCCCUGCAGCAGACCAGACCAUCCAGCACAGCUUUUUCAGAGAAAGAAAAUGAGUAAAAACUGUUUCCUUACGAUCACGAAUGUUCCAGCCAUGCAGUUUGCAACUUGUCUGUUCAACUGGAGUGAGUAGCCAUUGCCAUGGGUAAGCAGCCAAGUGGCAAACUGCCUGCCCCAUGCUGCCUACCUCACCCUCUGCCACCUCAACGCACAUCGGAUCCAGGAAGACAACAGUUGCCCAUGCAAAAUCCCAGCCAAAACAGGAGGGCAUUAAAGUCCUACCUGUUAAGGAGAGCCAGAGGCCAGGUUGGAGUCGAGAAGGAAUGCAGGGAGAUAGAACAUGUGUGAAGCUGCCUUAUCCGAGUCCAUUCAGCUCAAUAUUGCCUAUACUGAAUGGCAGCAGUUCUCCAGACUUUCAGGUCUUUGCUCAAGCCUACUCAUGUCACAGCAAGACUGAGCAAAUCAGAGGUUAAGAAGAGCCAGUUACAUAUAGAUGGGGCAAUGGAGGAAUUCAUCUUGUUGGUGUAAAUAACAUACCAACAACAGUACUGUUCAUGGAAAGAAGACCCUGAAGACGUACCUGUUUUCCCAGGCCUUCAACUGAGACUCA